CACCAUGAUCUUGGACUUCUAGCCUCCAGAACUAAGCCCGAGAGAACAGGGGUUUCGAGCAUCCACUCUGAGCCUGAAUGGCGGGCUUUCAUCCCAGAUCCACUUUGGCAAAAUCACUUAUCUCGUUCCUAGUUUCCUCACAGAGCCGCUGUUCCAGGAAGACCACAGCAUAGCACAAACAACUCCAUGAUUCUAAAUAGCUUCUCUCUAUCCCUCACUGCUUUCCCCAGAUAUCGCGGGUGGUAAAAGUAGCGGCCCACAACCUGAGUGCCAACAUGGUUAAUGAGGCUGCACGACUCACACAGGAAUGUGUUGGGGGACUGUCUAUGUUUACAUCUUACAUUUUUCUGUGUUAAUAAGAU
rnacentral:lncRNA from 1 species